UAUUGGACAAUGGGCGAAAGCCUGAUCCAGCCAUGCCGCGUGUGUGAAGAAGGUUUUCGGAUUGUAAAGCACUUUAAGUUGGGAGGAAGGGCAUUAACCUAAUACGUUAGUGUUUUGACGUUACCGACAGAAUAAGCACCGGCUAACUCUGUGCCAGCAGCCGCGGUAAUACAGAGGGUGCAAGCGUUAAUCGGAAUUACUGGGCGUAAAGCGCGCGUAGGUGGUUUGUUAAGUUGGAUGUGAAAUCCCCGGGCUCAACCUGGGAACUGCGUUCAAAACUGACUGACUAGAGUAUGGUAGAGGGUGGUGGAAUUUCCUGUGUAGCGGUGAAAUGCGUAGAUAUAGGAAGGAACACCAGUGGCGAAGGCGACCACCUGGACUAAUACUGACACUGAGUGCGAA
rnacentral:rRNA from 1 species